rnacentral:rRNA from 1 species
GACGAAGGAUCCAAGCGUUAUCCGGAUUCAUUGGGUUUAAAGGGUGCGUAGGCGGGUUUGUAAGUCAGGGGUGAAAUCCUAUCGCUUAACGAUGGAACUGCCAUUGAUACUGCGGACCUAGAAUAUAGAUGAUGUUGGCGGAAUAUGACAUGUAGCGGUGAAAUGCAUAGAUAUGUCAUAGAACACCGAUUGCGAAGGCAGCUGACAAAACUAUUAUUGACGCUGAUGCACGAAAGUGCGGGGAUCAAACAGG